rnacentral:rRNA from 1 species
CGUAGGUGACCUGCGGAAGGAUCAUUACCGAGUGCGGGCCCUCUGGGUCCAACCUCCCAUCCGUGUCUAUCUGUACCCUGUUGCUUCGGCGUGGCCACGGCCCGCCGGAGACUAACAUUUGAACGCUGUCUGAAGUUUGCAGUCUGAGUUUUUAGUUAAACAAUCGUUAAAACUUUCAACAACGGAUCUCUUGGUUCCGGCAUCGAUGAAGAACGCAGCGAAAUGCGAUAAUUAAUGUGAAUUGCAGAAUUCAGUGAAUCAUCGAGUCUUUGAACGCACAUUGCGCCCCCUGGUAUUCCGGGGGGCAUGCCUGUCCGAGCGUCAUUGCUGCCCUCAAGCACGGCUUGUGUGUUGGGCUUCCGUCCCUGGCAACGGGGACGGGCCCAAAAGGCAGUGGCGGCACCAUGUCUGGUCCUCGAGCGUAUGGGGCUUUGUCACCCGCUCCCGUAGGUCCAGCUGGCAGCUAGCCUCGCAACCAAUCUUUUUAACCAGGUUGACCUCGGAUCAGGUAGGGAUACCCGCUGAACUUAAGCAUAUCAA